rnacentral:rRNA from 1 species
GCUUGUCUCAAAGAUUAAGCCAUGCAUGUCUAAGUAUAAACAAAUCUAUACUGUGAAACUGCGAAUGGCUCAUUAUAUCAGUUAUAGUUUAUUUGAUGGUUCUUGCUACUUGGAUAACCGUAGUAAUUCUAGAGCUAAUACAUGCGAAAAGACCCGACUUUUUGGAAGGGUUGUAUUUAUUAGAUACAAAACCAAUGCGGAGCAAUCCGGUUUAUGGUGAUUCAUAAUAACUUUUGCGGAUCGCAUGGCCUUGCGCCGGCGAUGAAUCAUUCAAAUUUCUGCCCUAUCAACUUUCGAUGGUAAGGUAUUGGCCUACCAUGGUUACCACGGGUAACGGGGAAUUAGGGUUCGGUUCCGGAGAGGGCGCCUGAGAAAUGGCGACCACAUCCAAGGAAGGCAGCAGG